CGGACGAACUGCUUCCGGCCGGAAGUUCUGGAAGGGGGAGGGAGCUGCGGUCGCUCGCAGAGGGAGGUCCUCGCUGCCCGGCCCCCAGUCAUUGACAUAGGGCUUUCAGUUUUCCACACUUGUGGCAGAACAAAACACGAGAAGGAAAGGAUACAGCCUGGUAGUUGUGGCCCAACCCUCAUUCUGCAAAUGUGGCAAACAAGGGGAACAAGAAAUGUCAGCAGUUCUCCCUGGAAGAGAAAAUGAAGUUGUAAAAGCUACAGACUCAGGCAAGAGGAAAGAUGAUGUGGCAAAAAUAAUUUGGUAUCACUCCUUCUACUUUGUCUACAUUCUUAAGGGAUCGUGCCAAAUUUGAAGAAAAGAUGAUGACCUCGUCAUCUUUCAGGAGCUGAUGGACACAGAGGAUAUCCAGGGCAUAGAGGCUGGCAAAAAUACUGGUGAAGUUGGAAAUGAAGAUGAGGGGGAGGCAUCUUUUUACCACAGCAGCCAAAAAUCACUAUCACAGAGGCCAUCUCAACUGUACAGAAACCUAGAUGGUUCCUUUCCACUUGUGUAGGCAUUCCUGAUGCCUAUUUUGGACAGCUAAAUGGCAUAGAUGAAUAUUUAAUGAGAAGAGUAGCACAGUCUUGUCAACUCCAAAAUUAUAGAUUUCCUUCAAACAAAAUAAUGUAGGCAUUAUUUUGCCUCUUACUUUGGAAGAUGUGGCUUAUAAGAAUCUUUAAAUCUUUAGAUUUCUUUAGAUAGGAUAUUGAACUUACGUUUUAAGCAAUAAAAUUGUAACAACAUUCUAGUCCUCUGAAAUAAUCAGGAAACUUCCUUGAAUGGAAUUUGGAAAUAAAACUUGAUGAAUAUGUGUGUUCUCUUUUGAUUAAUCCAGUGGCUCCCAAAUUUGUCUGAACCUUAGGAUCACUUGAGGAUUUUUUUUUAAAUUUCCAAAGCCCAGACCAUAUCCCUGUCCAAUUAAAUCAUGAUCUCUGAUGCUAGGUCAUAAGCAUUAGCAGUUUUUGAAGCCUCCUGGGUGAUUCCAAUGUGCAGAAAAGUUUGGAAACUACUAGAUUAACCACAGGAAAAUCAAGCAUACUAUGGGCCUGGAGCCAAUUUCUUCCCAGUAAGUCUAGCUCAGUGGUUUCCAAAUUUUAGCUCACUUCAGAAUCACUUAGAAGGCUUGCUGAAACCCACAUUGCUGGGCUCUACCUUCUAGAGUUUCUGAUUCAGUGGGUUCUAGGUGGGACCCAAGAAUUUGCAUUUCUAACAAGUUCCCAGCUGAUGCUGAUGUGGUUCAGAGUCCAUACUUUGAGAACCACUGGUGUAGCUGGAUUCUAGCAUUUCUUUUUUCAGCUGGCCAUCUGAAUACUUCCAUCACUGUUAAAAAAAAAAAAAAGAAUAAUCUGUUCCUAAUACAAAGCUGUUAAUUCCUUUCUGCUAAUUUGGUACCUUCAGAACCUUUUUUGCUAUUCUCUUCACUGCUCAGCCAGUUAGCCAAGUAUUCAGAAAAGGUACGUUCAUCUGUGCCCAAAGGAUUAACAGGAGCCAUCUAGCCUAUUAAAAUGUCUGUGGUACAAAUAUCACAUGAUCUCACUAUUUUGUGGAAUCUAAUGAACAAAAGGAAUUGACCAACAAAAUAAGACCCGAAGCAUGGAGGCAUGGAACAGACUGACAUACCUUGAUACGGGUUUGGAGGGAUGAUGAGAGAUAAACCAAAGAACUUAUAUACUUAUAUGCAUAGUCCAUGGACACUGGCAAUAGGGUAGUGAAGACCUUGAGGAGUGGGUAGGGGCUGGGAGGAAGGGGGAAAGAAGGUGGAA